CGAUAGCGGUGAGGGUCCACCUGUUCCCAUUCCGAACACAGUAGUUAAGCUCACUUGCGCCGAAAAUACUUGUCUGGCGACGGACCGGAAAAAUAGGUAAUUGCCA
rnacentral:rRNA from 1 species